rnacentral:rRNA from 1 species
GAUGAACGCUGGCGGCGUGCCUAAUACAUGCAAGUCGAGCGAACGGACGAGAAGCUUGCUUCUCUGAUGUUAGCGGCGGACGGGUGAGUAACACGUGGAUAACCUACCUAUAAGACUGGGAUAACUUCGGGAAACCGGAGCUAAUACCGGAUGAUAUUUUGAACCGCAUGGUUCAAAAGUGAAAGACGGUCUUGCUGUCACUUAUAGAUGGAUCCGCGCUGCAUUAGCUAGUUGGUAAGGUAACGGCUUACCAAGGCAACGAUGCAUAGCCGACCUGAGAGGGUGAUCGGCCACACUGGAACUGAGACACGGUCAAGACUCCUACGGGGGGCAGCAGUAGGGAAUCUUCCGCAAUGGGCGAAAGCCUGACGGAGCAACGCCGCGUGAGUGAUGAAGGUCUUCGGAUCGUAAAACUCUGUUAUUAGGGAAGAACAUAUGUGUAAGUAACUGUGCACAUCUUGACGGUACCUAAUCAGAAAGCCACGGCUAACUACGUG